UACGGGGGGGGCAAGCGUUGUUCGGAAUUACUGGGCGUAAAGGGCUCGUAGGCGGCCAACUAAGUCAGACGUGAAAUCCCUCGGCUUAACCGGGGAACUGCGUCUGAUACUGGAUGGCUUGAGUUUGGGAGAGGGAUGCGGAAUUCCAGGUGUAGCGGUGAAAUGCGUAGAUAUCAGGAAGAACACCUAUGGCGAAGGCAGCUCUCUGGGACGGUACUGACGCUGAGACGCGAAAGCGUGGGGAGCGAACAGG
rnacentral:rRNA from 1 species